UACAGAGGAGCCAAGCGUUGUCCGGAUUUACUGGGCGUAAAGGGCGUGCAGGCGGUUUGUUAAGUGCAGGGUGAAAGCUCCCGGCUCAACUGGGAGAGGUCCUUGCAUACUGGCGAACUCGAGGGAGGCAGAGGAAAGUGGAAUUCCCGGUGUAGUGGUGAUAUGCGUAGAUAUCGGGAGGAACACCUGUGGCGAAGGCGGCUUUCUGGGCCUUACCUGACGCUGAGACGCGAAAGCGUGGGGAGCGAACCGG
rnacentral:rRNA from 1 species